CAGCAGCCGCGGUAAAACGAGGGGGGCAAGCGUUGUUCGGAAUUAUUGGGCGUAAAGGGUGCGUAGGCGGUUUGAUAAGUCUGGUGUGAAAUCUCUGGGCUCAACCCAGAGUCUGCAUCGGAAACUGUCGGGCUUGAGUAUGGGAGAGGUGAGUGGAAUUUCCGGUGCAGCGGUGAAAUGCGUAGAUAUCGGAAGGAACACCUGUGGCGAAAGCGGCUCACUGGACCAUUACUGACGCUGAUGCACGAAAGCUAGGGGAGCAAACAGGAUUAGAUACCCCUGUAGUCCCUGUCUCUUAUAA
rnacentral:rRNA from 1 species